rnacentral:rRNA from 1 species
CUAAGAAUAUUCCGCAAUGGACGGAAGUCUGACGGAGCGACGCCGCGUGGAUGAAGAAGGCCGAAAGGUUGUAAAGUUCUUUUGCUGGGGAAGAAUAACCGCAGGAGGGAAUGCCUGUGGGAUGACAAGAACCGGCGAAUAAGCCCCGGCCAACUANGUGCCAGCAGCCGCGGUAACACGUAGGGGGGCGAGCGUUGUUCGGAAUUACUGGGCGUAAAGGGCAUGUAGGCGGCUUGGAAAGCCUGGCGUGAAAGUCUGCAGCUUAACUGCAGGGGUGCGCUGGGAACUGCUGAGCUUGAGUGACGGAGAGGGAGCUGGAAUUCCUGGUGUAGGGGUGAAAUCUGUAGAUAUCAGGAAGAACACCGAUGGCGAAGGCAAGCUCCUGGCCGAUGACUGACGCUGAGGUGCGAAAGUGUGGGGAUCAAACAGGAUUAGAUACCCUGGUAGUCCACACAGUCAACGAUGUGCACUAGGUGCUGGGGCGGUAGCUUCGGUGCCGGAGCGAACGUGGUGAAGUGCACCGCCUGGGGAGUAUGCUCGCAAGGGUGAAACUCAAAUGAAUUG